UACGUAGGGUGCGAGCGUUGUCCGGAAUUAUUGGGCGUAAAGGGCUCGUAGGCGGUCUGUCGCGUCGGGAGUGAAAACUCAGGGCUUAACCCUGAGCCUGCUUCCGAUACGGGCAGACUAGAGGUAUGCAGGGGAGAACGGAAUUCCUGGUGUAGCGGUGAAAUGCGUAGAUAUCUGGAGGAAUACCGGUGGCGAAGGCGGCAUCCUGGACCGGCAUUGACGCUGAGGAGCGAAAGCCAGGGGAGCAAACGGG
rnacentral:rRNA from 1 species